UACAGAGGUCCCGAGCGUUGUUCGGAUUCACUGGGCGUAAAGGGUGCGUAGGUGGUGGGGUAAGUCGGAUGUGAAAUCUCCGGGCUCAACCCGGAAAUGGCAUUGGAAACUACCUUGCUAGAGGAUUUGAGGGGGGAUUGGAAUACUUGGUGUAGCAGUGAAAUGCGUAGAUAUCAAGUGGAACACCAGUGGCGAAGGCGGCAUCCUGGACCGGUAUUGACGCUGAGGCGCGAAAGCUAGGGUAGCAAACGGG
rnacentral:rRNA from 1 species